AGCAGCCGCGGUAAUUCCAGCUCCAAUAGCGUAUAUUAAAGUUGUUGCAGUUAAAAAGCUCGUAGUUGAAUUUCGGGAUCAAUAUGUUGGUCGUGCCUCGGUACGUACUAGCAUAUUGGUUUCUCCUUUCUGAAGAACCAUGAUGCCAUUUAUUUGGUGUCGUGGGGAAUCAGGACUGUUACUUUGAAAAAAUUAGAGUGUUUAAAGCAGGCUCACGCUUGAAUACAUUAGCAUGGAAUAAUGAAAUAGGACGUUUGAUUCUAUUUUGUUGGUUUCUAGGAUCGACGUAAUGAUUAAUAGGGAUAGUUGGGGGCAUUAGUAUUCAAUUGUCAGAGGUGAAAUUCUUGGAUUUAUUGAAGACUAACUACUGCGAAAGCAUUUGCCAAGGAUGUUUUCAUUAAUCAAGAACGAAAGUUAGGGGAUCGAAGACGAUCAGAUACCGUCGUAGUCUUAACCAUAAACUAUGCCGACUAGGGAUCGGAUGAUGUUAAUUUUUUCAAUGACUCAUUCGGCGCCUUAC
rnacentral:misc_RNA from 1 species